UUUGCGGAGAGUUUGAUCCUGGCUCAGGAUGAACGCUGGCGGCGUGCCUAAUACAUGCAAGUCGAACGAGGCGCUUUUUGUAGCAAUACGAGAAGUGUCCUAGUGGCGAACGGGUGAGUAACGCGUGGAUGACCUGCCCCAAAGUGUGGGAUAACAGUCCGAAAGGAUUGCUAAUACCUCAUGUGGUUAUCGGGGUUAGAAAGCGAUAACUAAAGCAGCAAUGCGCUUUGGGAGGGGUCUGCG
rnacentral:rRNA from 1 species